rfam:Cyphomyrmex costatus contig13955, whole genome shotgun sequence.
UAACCCGCUCUUUUCAGAGCGACUAAUACAUUUUUACGUAUCUAUU